ACUGUGGUGAUGGAAGAGGAGGGGUCUGGGAGAGAAGGGCGGGGGGAAACUCGCCGUUUCGGCGAGGGGGAUG
rnacentral:misc_RNA from 1 species